GUAGUUUUGGAUAACUGAGAUUUGGAUAACAGGAGCUGUUCGGUUUAUGAUUCUGGUGCUCUUCUGCUGUCAAUACUCUGCUGUGGCUUGCUCAAGUAUUUUGCUCUGCUUCACUUUCUGUAUGGAGUCCACAAAAUGCUAAUUAAUGCUCAUUAAUAAGCAUCUUCAAAAGAACAAAAGCCUGGGAGAGGGAAGAAGAAUGAGAAAGUGGGACAGGAGCACUGAAUAUUGACAAGGAGAUAAGUGUAGUGGAAGAGUUGAGAAGGGAAGGAAAGCACAAUUUCUUUUUUAACCCUUCUUCAGUCCCUUGGACAAACUCACAUCAGAUAAAAAUCUUUCUUUCUUUUUUUCAGUUCUGUGGCCUGUGUGAAUGACUGGGGGGUGUCAGAGCUGGUUGGUUUCUUCUUAACUUUUCACAGAACUCGUUACAGCAAUAAAGUAAAACUUUUAAACAGA